CCGCCCGCUCCGCCCCCGCCGGUCCCGGCCACUUUCACUUUCGGUGACGGCCUGGCUUGGGGCAGCGGGCGGCAGCGCCUGGGGGGGCUCGGAGAAGCCGCCCCUCCCCCAGAGCCCCCCACCACUGCCCAGGUAAGAACUGGGGGCAGACCGCACCCCCUGGCAGUGGGGUAGGGGUGCAGAUCGGGGUGGGUGGAGAUAGUGUCCUGCCCCCAUACCCCUCCCCCCUCAAGCCCUGCCGUGCCCCUCACUCCCAACCCGCCAGCGGUCAGUGGUCUGCCUUUUGCCAGCCCUGCUGGUGCCCCUCACUCCCAACCUGUAGCCCCUGUCCUCUCCUAGGCCUGUUUCUACCCCCACCCCUGCUUCUUUCCAACCAACAGCCCUCUGGAAGCUUACCUUUGGCCCCCCACCCCACCUGGGCCCUCUAUGUCCUGCCUCUCCCCAGCCCUGCUGGUGCCCAACUCCCAACCUGCAGCCCCCUGUCUCCCUAGCCUUGCUGGUGGCCCUUACUUCCGAGCUGCAGCCCCUUUUCCUCUCCCACCUCUGCCUCUGUCCCUUUAACCAGGCUGGUGCUCCUCAUUUCAACAGCCAGCCCCCUAACCAGUGUCUUGUGUUGCCCCACAGCUGCCCCCCUCCCUUGAGGGAGCCCCCCCCCCGGCAUGCCAGCCACCCACCCCUUGGCAUGGAGAUGAUUUUGUGCCAUGCACCCCCGGACCCCCAGUCCCUGCCCACUGCCUCUGUGGCCCCCCUGCUGCUGCUGCUGCUGCUGCUUCUGGCUCUGGCCCCCCCUGGGCACGGCUGCAUCUUUGAACACGAUCCUUUCAGCACCACCUUGACCAGAGACAUAGAAGAACUGACCCAGCUGCUGCUCCUGGACUACCCCGUCUCGUUGCCCUCCAACCUGGAGCCGGACCUCUGGUGCUACGACUUCUGGGUGAUCCACUUUAUGGCGGCUGAGCUAAGGCACAUGGAGCAGGUCGCAGGGCGCAGCCUGAACCCCAAGAUCCAGGCUGUGGCCAGACAGAUACUC
rnacentral:lncRNA from 1 species